CCCGUUUUACAACGGUCGUAUAGGUGACGGUUAUACAAACCGAUAGGAAUACUUUAAACGACUAUUUUAAAAACGUCGGGAAAACCCAUUUUUGUAGUAGUGAGAAUUCUUAGUUUAUGAAAAAUUAUUGGGUGACUUUUUUUUUAAUGUUUUCUAUUCAAAACUAAUAGUUUUUUUUUUUUUUGGCUAAGGUUAACGGGGUUAAAUCCCCAAAUUAACUUUAACAGAAUAUACUAUUAAUUAACAAAAUAUUCUUUAACCCUUGAAUAUAAAUUAACAAAUAUGUAAAUUCAAAAUAAUUAUAAUCUUAUUUUAAAAAUAAAGAAAUAAAUAUUAUAAUUAUAAUCUCAUCUCUCGAUCCACCUUUCUCUCUCCUCUGUUUCUUCUUUUCUCUCAUCCGGCCUCCGUCUCAUGAAUCGCAUUAUUUUGAAUAUUAUAAUUAUAAUCUCAUUUUUUUUUUAUGCUUGAAUCAAUGUUUGAGAUCAUUAGCAAGGAUUUCACAUUUGUUUCCGUUUCAGAAAUUUUGGUACUCCUCCAAACUCCAAUAGUCUUGAAUGGUUUCAAAUACCUAGCUGGAUCAUGCCUGGCUGGAUUCCAUGAGCAGAGCCAUUGAAGAAUUCAUUCGUCAAGAGUAUAUAUAUAAUCAGAAGUCGGUCAAGAGAGCUAGGAAGCUUCGUCAUCAGCGAUCAACAAUGAGGGGUGUGAUAGCUGUUAUAAUGAGCGCAAAUUAUGUUAUUUUUAAAUUAUUUCUAUAAUUAUUAUAUAAUCUGUUUCUUAAAUUAUUUUGUAGUUGUGUUUAUUAUUAUUAA